UUGAAGGGAUAGCCAGCCCAUCAUGGGGGUGUGGGGGGGAGGGGCUGAGGUGGUGAGGGAGAGGGGAGGUCACGGCAGCAGAAAGAGCUUGAGGCAGUAAGUCACGUGGCAUCCGUAGACAGGAAGAAACGAAAUGCCUGUGCUCCGUUCACUUUCUCCUUAUUUGAUCUGAGGCUUCAGCCCCUGGAAUAGUGCCACCCUUAUUUAGAGCGGAUUUUUCCAUCUCAGUUACCCCAAUCUAGACGUUCCCUUACAGACAUAACUCAGGGGAUCCCAGAUCCUGGGAAGCUGAUCGCCAAUGUUAGCCAUCACUCACCAGCUAGAGAUAUACCAAACACUGCUCAGAACUGGGGGCCUUGAGGAUGAAGGGGAAGGGAGGCGAGCAGGGGCUGAACUGACGCAGAAUGGCUGACAGCUCAAUAGGGCUGGUAGGAAGUCAGCCCUAGGUCCCUUUUUAUAUUCUAGACUGCUGGGAGGUGGCCCCCGUUACCCUCACAGAGCACAGCAGGAGCCUGACUGCUCUUUCAAGAUGACAAAAGAGUCCCUGAACUGGAGGAAACCAGAUUGGAGCAGUGUGACUCAAGGGACACAUAUGUCACGAACAUUUUGAACUAAAAAUGGCUGGGUGAGCCUGGCACAAAGCUGAUUUGUACUUGGAUCUCAUGAGUCAAGUGUGGAUGAAGCUCCGAUCUCUUCCCUUCCACGCCGGGUUAUCUGAGGACGCUCCUUUUUUUCCCACAGAUAUCUUCUGUUAGGACCUGCUCGUGACCACCAGCAGGACAAGUGAGAAGAGAAGUAACCCAGUGAAUAGAAACCUCAUUCCUGACUGAUGGCCGUCACCCAGCCGAGCCCAUGUCCAGCCCGGGUUCCAACCAUUGUGAGCCCAUGUUUCUAGGUAACAGCCCUGCCCUGGCUGGCUGAGUCCCCAAAGGGUUCCGAUAAACUUGCCGUGAAGGCAAAGCCAGACAACGACCCAGAAUCAGGUUCACGGAUGUUCCUCUCCGCUGCUUCGCAUGUGAUGAAGAAAAGGGAAAGCAUCUCUGCAUCAUUUCUCUCAAGCUUCAUGGCUGAGCCACUUCUAACAAAAGCCAAACGAAUGGAAUGGAUGAUUCUGGGUACUGAUAUGGUGAAGAGCAGCAUGUCUAAGCACGAAUCAACUUCUUACAAGAGUCUGUAUGGGACGUGUGUCCUUACGAAGGAGUUUAGUCCUAUAGUGUCAUUAUAUUAGCAUGCAUAAUGGUAAGAAUGUUAUUUACUCAUUUAUAUUCAUAAAUAAAU